rnacentral:tRNA from 1 species
GGAGAGAUGGCUGAGUGGACGAUAGCAACGGCUUGCUAAGCCGUCAUACGGUGUUUAACCGUAUCGAGGGUUCGAAUCCCUCUCUCUCCGCCA